rnacentral:rRNA from 1 species
UGGGGAAUAUUGCACAAUGGGCGCAAGCCUGAUGCAGCCAUGCCGCGUGUGUGAAGAAGGCCUUCGGGUUGUAAAGCACUUUCAGCGGGGAGGAAGGCGGUGAGGUUAAUAACCUCAUCGAUUGACGUUACCCGCAGAAGAAGCACCGGCUAACUCCGUGCCAGCAGCCGCGGUAAUACGGAGGGUGCAAGCGUUAAUCGGAAUUACUGGGCGUAAAGCGAACGCAGGCGGUCUGUCAAGUCGGAUGUGAAAUCCCCGGGCUCAACCUGGGAACUGCAUUCGAAACUGGCAGGCUAGAGUAUUGUAGAGGGGGGUAGAAUUCCAGGUGUAGCGGUGAAAUGCGUAGAGAUCUGGAGGAAUAACGGUGGCGAAGGCGGCCCCCUGGACGAAGACUGACGCUCAGGUGCGAAAGCGUGGGGAGCAAACAGG